rnacentral:sRNA from 1 species
ACAAGUUAUUUGAACGACCUUCGAGAUUUUUCCAAGUUAUUCAGAUUCUGCAUUUGAUUUCAUCUAUCAUCUUGUUUCUCUACUCUUUAUCUCUUUACUUAUGCAAUAUUAUCAUUUACCUGCGUUUAUGUCUUUGAGCAUGUUGUCUGAGUAGUGACAUAGAGUUCUUAAGGAUGGGAUAGAGUAGUUGUGGAAUCCGUAGUCUGUAGAAUGGUUAAGUUUUAGAAUUGAUUGAAUCCCUUCAGGACUAGUUGUGUUAACU